rnacentral:rRNA from 1 species
CCUACGGGUGGCAGCAGUGGGGAAUAUUGGACAAUGGGCGAAAGCCUGAUCCAGCCAUGCCGCGUGUGUGAAGAAGGCCUUCGGGUUGUAAAGCACUUUAAGCGAGGAGGAAUGGCUGAGGGUUAAUAGCCUUCAGCAGUGACGUUACUCGCAGAAUAAGCACCGGCUAACUCUGUGCCAGCAGCCGCGGUAAUACAGAGGGUGCAAGCGUUAAUCGGAAUUACUGGGCGUAAAGCGCGCGUAGGCGGUUACGUAAGUUGGAUGUGAAAUCCCCGGGCUCAACCUGGGAAUUGCAUUCAAAACUGCGUGGCUAGAGUGUGGGAGAGGAAGGUAGAAUUCCAGGUGUAGCGGUGAAAUGCGUAGAUAUCUGGAGGAAUACCGAUGGCGAAGGCAGCCUUCUGGCCUAACACUGACGCUGAGGUGCGAAAGCAUGGGGAGCAAACAGGAUUAGAUACCCCAGUAGUC